rfam:Oryctolagus cuniculus chromosome 13, whole genome shotgun sequence.
CCAAAGGCUCUUUUCAGAGCCACCCACGUACCACGAGAAAGCAGCU